UAGACCUAAUAUCAAAUGGACAGGCCCUUAGAGAGAAAUUCUGGCAUGCCGCAUAUGAAAGAGAGAGAUGGAGCUAGAUGAGUCAACGUCAAAAUCAUAUGAUCAAAACAUUGAACUCACAUUCAGAAAAUCGCUAAUUUUUCUCUCAUUCUGAAUUGAACACAUAGUUAAUCUGAUUGAUUCGAUUUGUAAAAGUGUUGAACAUUCUAAUAAAAGGAAUUAGCGUUCACAGUUUUCCAAAGGAUGACAAAUUAAGGGAACAGUGGAUGAAAGCUGAAGAAGAAUUGAUUUCAACCCUUUUUCCUUGUUGAAAAUAUGCAGCAACCGUUUUCAUCAACAUGAUUUAUUAAUAUUCAUGGUACAAAAACUCUGAAAAAAAAUGUUAUUCCUUCAGUUUUCAGUUUCUCCAAUUAUAUGCCUGAGAGAUUAAAUUAUGGAGAUAAAUGUCUUGAAGAUAAUAUUGAAGAAAUUGAACAGGACCAGCCAGAGACAAAACAGCAAGAGAUGGGGCAACCAGAGACGGUACAACUGUUUAUAAAAUCAAAAUCCUCUGCUGCUGUCAUGGAGGAUUUUCCCCCCAGAUUGAAUACUAAAAUUAGAAGCCUGGGAAUGAGGAUUUCCAAGAAUGGAACACUAGACGAAGUAAUAUCUGAGAGAAACAUCCAAAGAAAACCAAUAAUCUCAAUGUUAAAUAGGAUAUUAUCGAUUAAAAACAUAAAUGUGAAUAAUAAGAAAAAAUUUACUCAAUAGUUAGGAGCAUAAUAACAUACAGCUCUGAAGUGGACAGCAGCUGGAAAAUCUGAAAGGGACAUGAUACCAAAUGAUACAAUAAGACAUAGAAUGGAAAUAAGACAUGAUAUUAUUGAUCUUAAGAACACAACAGUUGGUUUGGUACAGACAAGUCCAUAAAUACUUAUGAUACUAGGUGUGAUUUAA